rnacentral:snRNA from 1 species
GUGCUCACUUCGGCAGCACAUAUACUAAAAUUGGAACGAUACAGAGAUUAGCAUGGCCCCUGCGCAAGGAUGACACGUAAAUUCCUGAAGCAGUCCAUAUUUUU